rnacentral:tRNA from 1 species
GGCGGGCGUCGCCAUCCCGGUGGAGGCCCCGGUCUUCAAAACCGGUAGAGGCGCGUCGAGAGGCGUCGUCUGGUGGGUUCGACUCCCAUCGCCCGCCGCCA